UGCAAUCAAGGAAUGGAUUAAAAAAACAACAUUUGUUUGGUCAAAACACAUACACCUAAGCUGUUAAUGACUGCUGAUAUUUCUUUGGUUCUAUAGGCAGUGUCACGUCUUCUCAGGCCUGCAGUGUUGGAGAUGUUUCUAGAAGCUGUGAAGGGAAUGGGGGAUUUCUGCUCUGAUGCUCAGCUCAGAGACAUGGACCUCCUCUCUCAAUCAGUCAGGGCCCAGUGGGAGGUAUGUGCCACAGCAGCUGAGCGGUCAGUGCAUCUGGAAGCCUUGAGAAGAAUUACAGAGAGUCUGCACCCUGCAGAGAGUGUUCUUCUCAGCACCACCCAUCGGAGAACAGACACAAAGAAGGUGGAGAAUAUUCAGUGCUGCACAGACUCCACAAGUGACUUGGCACAAUGCCAGGAUGGGUACGUAAAAAACAGUGGAACUUUUGAGGUUAUAUAAUUAAAAUAUCUAGGCUAUAUUAUAUUAAUUAUAUAUAUUCUGUUACAGUAUAUGUU
ensembl:lncRNA